rnacentral:rRNA from 1 species
CCUACGGGGGGCAGCAGUGGGGAAUAUUGGGCAAUGGGCGCAAGCCUGACCCAGCAACGCCGCGUGAAGGAAGAAGGCUUUCGGGUUGUAAACUUCUUUUGUCAGGGAAGAGUAGAAGACGGUACCUGACGAAUCAGCCACGGCUAACUACGUGCCAGCAGCCGCGGUAAUACGUAGGUGGCAAGCGUUGUCCGGAUUUACUGGGUGUAAAGGGCGUGUAGCCGGGUUGACAAGUCAGAUGUGAAAUCCUGCGGCUUAACCGCAGAACUGCAGUUGAAAUUGUUGAUCUUGAGUACUGGAGAGGCAGACGGAAUUCCUAGUGUAGCGGUGAAAUACGUAGAUAUUAGGAGGAACACCAGUGGCGAAGGCGGUCUGCUGGACAGCAACUGACGGUGAGGCGCGAAAGCGUGGGGAGCAAACAGGAGUAGAUACCCGAGUAGUC